rnacentral:tRNA from 1 species
GCGGGUAUAGUUCAACGGUAGAACGACGAACUUCCAUUCGUUAUACAGGUUCGACUCCUGCUGCCUGCU